UCGGGGAUAGCCUUUCGAAAGAAAGAUUAAUACCCGAUGGCAUAGUUCUUCCGCAUGGUGGAACUAUUAAAGAAUUUCGGUCAUCGAUGGGGAUGCGUUCCAUUAGGUUGUUGGCGGGGUAACGGCCCGCCAAGCCUUCGAUGGAUAGGGGUUCUGAGAGGAAGGUCCCCCACAUUGGAACUGAGACACGGUCCAAACUCCUACGGGAGGCAGCAUG
rnacentral:rRNA from 1 species